AUCCGGCAAAAAUGAAAUAUUCUCAGAAUUCUCCAUUGAUACGACAUGCUGUUUUUUCCAGUCAUUCCUUUCAGGAUCAGUCGUGGUCUUACAAACUAUAACUAUACCGAUAGUAUGGACGAAUCCCUUUCUUCAUACAAAUGUGUAAAAGAUAUUAGCCGCACUUAAAAGCCGAGUACUCUACCAUUGAGUUAGCAACCCUUCCCCCCCC
rnacentral:misc_RNA from 1 species